CGAAAGCAAGGAAACUUACAACAAAGAGUCCCUCCCGACUGUUUACCAAAAACACAGCACUCUGCUAACUCGUAAGAGGAUGUAUAGGGUGUGACGCCUGCCCGGUGCUCGAAGGUUAAUUGAUGGGGUUAGCAUUAGCGAAGCUCUUGAUCGAAGCCCGAGUAAACGGCGGCCGUAACUAUAACGGUCCUAAGGUAGCGAAAUUCCUUGUCGGUUAAAUACCGACCUGCAUGAAUGGCGUAACGAGAUGGGAGCUGUCUCAAAGAGGGAUCCAGUGAAAUUGUAGUGGAGGUGAAAAUUCCUCCUACCCGCGGCAAGACGGAAAGACCCCGUGGACCUUUACUACAGCUUGACACUGCUACUUGGAUAAGAAUGUGCAGGAUAGGUGGGAGGCUUUGAGUAUAUGACGCCAGUUGUAUAUGAGCCAUUGUUGAGAUACCACUCUUUCUUAUUUGGGUAGCUAACCAGCUUGAGUUAUCCUCAAGUGGGACAAUGUCUGGUGGGUAGUUUGACUGGGGCGGUCGCCUCCCAAAUAAUAACGGAGGCUUACAAAGGUUGGCUCAGAACGGUUGGAAAUCGUUCGUAGAGUAUAAAGGUAUAAGCCAGCUUAACUGCAAGACAUACAAGUCAAGCAGAGACGAAAGUCGGUCUUAGUGAUCCGGUGGUUCUGUGUGGAAGGGCCAUCGCUCAAAGGAUAAAAGGUACCCCGGGGAUAACAGGCUGAUCUCCCCCAAGAGCUCACAUCGACGGGGAGGUUUGGCACCUCGAUGUCGGCUCAUCGCAUCCUGGGGCUGGAGCAGGUCCCAAGGGUAUGGCUGUUCGCCAUUUAAAGCGGUACGCGAGCUGGGUUCAGAACGUCGUGAGACAGUUCGGUCCCUAUCUGCCGUGGGCGUAAGAAGAUUGAAGAGAUUUGACCCUAGUACGAGAGGACCGGGUUGAACAAACCACUGGUGUAGCUGUUGUUCUGCCAAGAGCAUCGCAGCGUAGCUAAGUUUGGAAAGGAUAAACGCUGAAAGCAUCUAAGCGUGAAGCCAACUCUAAGAUGAAUCUUCUCUAAGCUCUCUAGAAGACUACUAGUUUGAUAGGCUGGGUGUGUAAUGGAUGAAAGUCCUUUAGCUGACCAGUACUAAUAGAGCGUUUGGCUUAUCUUU
rnacentral:rRNA from 1 species